rnacentral:rRNA from 1 species
GAUGAACGCUGGCGGCGUGCCUAAUACAUGCAAGUCGAGCGAACAGACGAGGAGCUUGCUCCUCUGACGUUAGCGGCGGACGGGUGAGUAACACGUGGAUAACCUACCUAUAAGACUGGGAUAACUUCGGGAAACCGGAGCUAAUACCGGAUAAUAUAUUGAACCGCAUGGUUCAAUAGUUAAAUACGGUUUUGCUGUCACUUAUAGAUGGUUCCGCGCCGCAUUAGCUAGUUGGUAAGGUAACGGCUUACCAAGGCAACGAUGCGUAGCCGACCUGAGAGGGUGAUCGGCCACACUGGAACUGAGAAACGGUCAAGACUACUACGGGAGGCAGCAGUAGGGAAUCUUCCGCAAUGGGCGAAAGCAUGACGGAGCAACGCCGCGUGAGUGAUGAAGGUCUUCGGAUCGUAAAACUCUGUUAUUAGGGAAGAAAAAAUGUGUAAGUAACUAUGCACGUCUUGACGGUACCUAAUCAGAAAGCCACGGCUAACUACGUG